UUCAAAUAUUCUACAAAACAAUCUGCUCACAGAGCAUUCUACGGUUUGUUCAGAGGUCCCUGAUAGUGCUGUCAUUUUGCACUGGACCGUGGUUUAGGAUUUUUUUUGCCCAAGUUGCAGUAGAGAAAAAAAUAGUUUCUUACCCCUGCACAGUAGUCCCCACUAAUUGAAACUCUCUGAAACUCUGGUACAUCAUAUGGCACCUGGACUGGCAGGAAAGCAUGUUGAAGAACUGGUGUUGUAGGAGACAGAGUAGGAAUGGCCGGUGGUGCUUUCCAUUCCUGAGACGGAAUUUGUAAUGACAAAGACUGAGAUCGAAUCAUCUUGAAACUUUUCUUCCUAGGAAUUCAUGGUAUAAAAUGUUAAAUGAGCCUUGCUGUAAAACAUUAAGUACUUUGCAAAGCAGAUUACAGCAAAGAAAACAUCUCCUAAGAAAGUUUACAAGAUGAAAUUUCUUACACCACAUGGAAAAUGUCGGUCACAACAUAGUUUUCCUUUUGACACUUUGCAUUAUAUUUUCUAUGUACAAUUGCAGUACAAAUACAAUAUACCAUAAUUUAUUUACUAUCAUUUACAAAACCACUAAGAUUUGUUUUGUUUCACUUCUUACAAAUUCAGUAUCAGCAAGUCACUGUGCAGAAAGAAAGCAUGGCUGCCUUACUUAAAAUCGGAAUUCAAAGCAUGAGAGAAAGAAAGUGAAUCUGACAUCAGAAACAUGAUGCCAAGUGCUGCCCAACUGAUGGUCUGAGCUAACAGGGUACACGUUUAGCUAUCAGUUUAAAGCCCUCCUUGUUUGUGUGAUGUCUGAUGAAUCUGUACACACCCAAGCCAUUUGGUGUCAGACUGCUGCUGAGCUCAUGUGACUCUUAACAAAUAAGUCCAACCAGCCCACUAAAGACUAAGAGACUGGGACAGCCUGACACCCAGACUGUUGUUCUGCCAGUUCCUUCUGAAGUUCCCUUUCCUUGGCCUCUUUCUGCCCAAUAGGGCAGUCUUCAGGCACAGUGAAUAGUGACAAGGCAUCCUUGCUGUCUUCUUCUCGGAGAACUUUAGCAAAUACCUUCUCAGCUAGAAGUCGCACUUGCUCAUCAACUUCAGAUAUGUUCAGCUUUGGGAACUGUCUGGGCAUCUCAGCUAAUAAGGAAAACAUUUGACAAAGUUAUAUUUUUAAGUAACUUGUAAGUAGAAAUAAGAAAUACUUUUUUUUUUUUUUUAGCAUUCCAAUUGAAAUUAAAAGCUUACAGCAAAAAAUGAUAAGGUCAUCAGAUGGCUUGGGUUGGAAGGGACCUUACAGUCGCAGCCCUCAGCUGCGGGCUGGCUGCCCCCCACCAGGUAGGGCUGCCCAAGGCUGCAUCCAACCCAGCCCUGAGCACCUCCAGGGACAGGGCAGCCACAGCUCCUCUGAGCAGCUGCGCCAACGCCUCGCCAUCUUCGUCACGGAAUUUUUUUCUUCUUCCUUAACCUAAACCUACCCUCUUUUAGUUUAGAACUCUUACUCCUUCUCCUGUCACUGCUCUCCCUGGUAGAGUCCCUCCUCAUCUACCUCUGUAGAGCCACUGUAAGUACUGGAAGGCCACUACUAGAACUCCUGGGAGCCUUGUCUUCAUAAGCAGAACGAAGUAGAAUGGCUAUGCAGAAUUUAAACCACUGUGCAAUAUGCAGCAAUUACAGGAAUCCACUGAGUAUUUUUUCUUGCAUGGCCAUGAUAAACCAUACAUUCACAACUUCCAACUGUACUCACUGAAAUGUUUUGUUGUGGCUGUUUGUUUUUUCCUUUCUAAUACGUUUCUAAGGUAUGCUUUCUAAGGUGCCAGUUCAGUUGGAAGUAUAAAACUCCUGAAGGACAGUAAGGCAGUCCAAGGAACAUUCUGUGGUAACAAUAAAACUAAUGGUAGACCUAUGUAUGAGAUUGAAUGUGAAACAGUUCUUCGCUGACGCGUAGAAGCUGUGAGUGUUAAAACUUAAGUCUUCUAGGCUGCUUUUAACUACCUCACAAAAGGCAAGGGUACAAGGUUUACUGCAAGCAUUCAUUCUUUAGCACAUGGUGUUAUCUUGCAUCAUAAAAAUUCCUACAGAUUUGCCAGUAGAUUCCAUUCACUUGCAUAAUCAAAGAGACUUACUUGCAAGACAGUGCACACUGAGCUGUAUGGAUGUACUUGCAGUGAACUCGGAAAUCUCAUCUACUGCUCCUCUGCUGCUCAGUGCCUUCAAAGCAAUUGCAGCGCCACAGGCAAGUUAGCAAAGAAUGCUGCACAUUUCUACCUCACCCCAUUCUUUCCACAGAGAAGUUGUGGUGCUGCUGUUGGCUGUGCAACAGGAGUGAAAAUGCUGCUGUUAACUCUAGUUUUCUUUGUUCAUUUUGCUUCCAGUGACUCAUACUCUGUUUUUGAGCUGCACGCGGGAAGCAGAGAGGAUACAGAGUUAAAUUCCUCUUGGCAUUUAUAUAACAGACCGGUUUAGUCUUUUCAUUUUUUACUUAUGUAGCCUUUUGUAACAAAGUAUUUCCAUUUUGUUAGA